rnacentral:rRNA from 1 species
GAGCCAAAAAUCUAGCCUAUUACACACCUCACCUAAUUUACACCAAAUAAAACAUUUUAAUUCUAAAGUAAAGGCGAUCAAAAUAACACUUAGCGCUUAAGAUAAAGUACCGCAAGGGAAAGUUGAAAUAAAAUGAAAUACCUCAAGCCAACAACAGCAGAGAUUUCAACUCGUACCUUUUGCAUCAUGGUCUAGCUAGUCCAACCAAGCAAAAAGAAAUUUUAGUUUGGCCCCCCGAAACUAGGCGAGCUACUUCAAAACAGCUUUAAGAGCUAACCCGUCUCUGUAGCAAUAGAGUGGGAAGAUUUUCAAGUAGAAGUGAUAAACCUAUCGAGCCAAGAGAUAGCUGGUUAUUCAACAAAAGAACUAGUUCUGCCUUAAAUUUCCCUAUGAUACAAACAAUAAAAAAUUUAAGAGUUACUUAAAUAAGGCACAGCUUAUUUAAAAUAGGAUACAACCUCGACUACAGGGUAAACCUUCAAUCUUACGUCAAGUGGGCCUAAAAGCAGCCACCUCAAAAAGCGUUAUAGCUUAACCUAAUAUUAAUAAAAUACCACUAACAGCCAUUAACCCUCCUCCAUUACUGAAUAAUUCUAUAGCAUAUAGAAAAUACUAUGCUAGAACUAGUAACAAGAAUUAUUCUCUAAAAUGUAAACUUCCACCUAAUAAUAGGAAAUUAACGAACAUGAACCUGCUGCAGCAACCCCCAAGAAAACCCUACAAAAAUCUCCGUUAACCUAACACUAGAACAUUUCUAGAAAGAUUAAAAGAGAAAGAAGGAACUUGGCAAAUCUUAACCCCGCCUGUUUACCAAAAACAUCGCCUCUUGUUUAAUAAUAAGAGGUCCAGCCUGCCCAGUGAUAAAUUCAACGGCCACGGUACCCUAACCGUGCAAAGGUAGCAUAAUCACUUGUUCUUUAAAUAAGGACUAGUAUCAACGGCACCACGAGGGUUAUACCGUCUCCUUCCUCCAAUCAGUGAAACUGAUCUCCCCGUGAAGAAGCGGGGAUAAAACUAUAAGACGAGAAGACCCCGUGGAGCUUUAUACUUUCGGCAACCAAAUCUCUCACUUCCUUAUAAUCUUAAAGCUUUGCCCACUAGUCUUAGAUUGGGGUGAUCGCGGAGCAAAAAUCAACCUCCAUGACGAAAACUAUUUUAUCCGAGACUUACAACUCUAAGAAUUAGAACACUAACGCUCAUGACCCGACAAACGAUCAACGAACCAAGUUACCCCGGGGAUAACAGCGCAAUCUACUUCAAGAGCUCAUAUCGACAAGUAGGCUUACGACCUCGAUGUUGGAUCAAGGUAUCCCAGUGGUGCAGUCGCUACUAACGG